GACAAAAAAAACAAUGGGGGCUCAACAAAAGCAGCGGAUGUAGCAGGUUCUUAGGCAAGGCCCCCACUGAUGACAGCCUCUGGCUGUGGGCCAGGCUCAGGUGGCCACAGAAAGCUAACAGCACAGCCCCCAGCUGAACCGCAAGCCUCUGCCCCACCGUCCCCAGCUCAGAGCAAAGCAGAAACUUGAAGUAGACGCUGCUCCGCAAAAGCAGUGCAUCAAAAGAUGCUGGGGCAGGUGCAAUGGACAAGGCUGUCUCCUUCUGGCUCUGCAAUCCUGCUGCUGGUGCUCUGUGGGCAGCCUUUCACUGCUGUGUCUCCUCCAGGGGAUCUCCGAGCUCCUGCUUUCCAAAUGAACUCAAGUUCUGCUCAGCCAGGUACCACAGUUGUGCUCCAGUGUAUUCUCCCUGUGGUGUCACAUGUAAGACGAAUCAUCUUCUGUAAGGAUGGGAUAGAGGUGUACAGCCAGGAGGCCUAUCAAGGGCAGCUGAGCUACUCCGCGGUCCUGAACGUCACAUCAAGAAGUGCAGGAAGAUAUACAUGUCGGUACCAGGUUUGGAAUGAGAUGAAACAGAGGAGGAGCUCUGCCCUCAGUGCUGGCCGCAUCCUGAAUGUCCCUGGUGAGACAUGUCCCUGGGCUGGAGGGGUGAGAAGGGAC
rnacentral:lncRNA from 1 species